UCCUAAGGGCAGAAAUAAGAGCUUUGAGACAGGCUUCACCAAGGAGGGACAGAACAAUUCCCGGUUCAGCCGAGGACCGAGGAGUAGCGUUGGGUACCAAA